ACUCCUACGGGAGGCAGCAGUAGGGAAUCUUCCACAAUGGGCGCAAGCCUGAUGGAGCAACACCGCGUGAGUGAAGAAGGGUUUCGGCUCGUAAAGCUCUGUUGUUAAAGAAGAACACGUAUGAGAGUAACUGUUCAUACGUUGACGGUAUUUAACCAGAAAGUCACGGCUAACUACGUGCCAGCAGCCGCGGUAAUACGUAGGUGGCAAGCGUUAUCCGGAUUUAUUGGGGCGUAAAGAGAGUGCAGGCGGUUUUCUAAGUCUGAUGUGAAAGCCUUCGGCUUAACCGGAGAAGUGCAUCGGAAACUGGAUAACUUGAGUGCAGAAGAGGGUAGUGGAACUCCAUGUGUAGCGGUGGAAUGCGUAGAUAUAUGGAAGAACACCAGUGGCGAAGGCGGCUACCUGGUCUGCAACUGACGCUGAGACUCGAAAGCAU
rnacentral:rRNA from 1 species